UUGUUUUUAUGCUUUGUUUAGUUAGUUGAUUUCGUGUCUUAUCUUUUUACCUGACCGUCGUAACAGAUUAAUUCUAGUAAGAUAGUUAUAAGUUAAAAAUAUUCGAGUUAUUAAACCAGGUCCUGUGGAAUUGCUUAUUACCCUUUAGACACCAGGAGAUGAAACCAGGUUCAAAGGCUGUAACUAGACUCUAGAGAGAUAUUGUCCGGUAUAGACUUAGCGAGUUCAGCUUCAGCCAGUUUUUCUCUGAAUAUGCUUCAAUGUGUCUUCCCUUGUAGUGGAAUUUGACUUGUUAGUGAGCCGCUCAAUUCCACACUUGUAUGGUGGAGCUUAGCAAAGUCUUGAAAGGUGAAAGCAUAAACCACCAUAAAAGGACUCGCAUACCUUCUCAGCUAAUGUUUAUGCUUCUUCAUCCCAUAAUGUUCCAGAAAGCUUAACACCUCCUCUACCACCUCCAUCUCCAGCCUUUCAGAGACAAUCCAUAGAUGAGAGAUGCAACCAAUCCGUAGACCAAAGCCAAAGCUGCAACAUGAUAAAGUAAAGGGAUCCUCAAGCUCUAGCAACCCUUUAGCAGAAGCAAACAGAGAAACAGAUUGUUCUAGCUCUGAAGGAGCAGACACAUCCACAGACCAAGGCACAGAUCCAAGCUCCCCCAGACCUUCACCUGCCAAGUCGCUAAGGUCAAUCCGGAUGCUCCUCUGGACAAAGUCUGCAUAGUUAGCUGUGGUUUAAUACACUGGACUAGGAGAAACCUUGAAUGUAGCUAAACCAAAGAGAGGUCAAAGUGUUGCCAUUUUCGGUCUUGGUGCUGUUGGUUUUUGGCCGCUGCAGAAGGUGCUAGAACCUCUGGUGCUGCUAGGAUCAUUGGUGUCGGUCCCAACCCCAAUAGAUUCGAGGAAGGUAGUUAGAAAUUGAUUAGUGUUUGACUGUGUCCUUCUCUAAUCUAAUGUCGUUCACUUAUAAUGAGUUUGAUAUGCUAUUAGCAGCUAAAGAAGUUGGGUGUGGUCGAAUUUGUGAACCCUAGAGAGCAUGAAAAACCAGUUCAACAAGUCAUCGCUGAGAUGACAGGCGGUGGUGUGGUGUGGUGUGGUGUGGAGUGCACUGGAAGCAUUCAAGCUAUGAACUAUAUGCUCUGUUUCUAAGGUAAAAUGGGAGGGGGGUACGUUUUGCUAAGGCUCGGUCCUCAUCAUCUAGUGUUCAUCAAAGGGAAAUAAAAAAAGUUAAUUGACAAAUAAAAAAGUUAGUGUUCAUCAAAGGGAAAUACCCAAUCCAAUAGGGUUUGUUAUGCAAAAAUAAAAACUUAAUUUCUCCGUCUCGGCAAUUCAUUCAUUUCUAGAUUAAUGGAAGAUCUGAAAGACUCAAAGGAAUUCGCCAAGCCUUGCAAAUUGACAAAACCAUUCGCAUGAGAUCUGAUCGAACGAUGGUGCUGGUUACCUCUGUGCGUGAUUACAUCAACCGGAUGCUCCACGAUAUCUCCGGCAUGAAGGUUCUCCUCAUACUCGACUCCGAAACGGUUAGCAAUGUGAGCAUCGUGUAUUCGCAAUCAGAGCUGCUUCAGAAAGAAGUGUUUCUCGUGGAACACGAUAGAUUCAAUCUCCGCUUCGAAAGAAUCAAUGUCGCAUCUGAAAGCUGUUUACUUCAUCCGCACUACUUCGGAGAACAUUCAGAAGCUUCGAUACGAGCUCGCCAAUCCUAGAUUCGGAGAACACCAUCUGUUUUUCUCCAAUCUGUUGAAGGACACACAGAUUCAUAUAUCUUGGCUGAACUCAUAGGUUGCAUGCAUGUGAUGGAACUAAUUUCCAGCUUGUUUAGUCUGAGAAUUUCGUGUAUCCUGUAUUUAUUCGAAUUGAAAGAUACUUUUCUGUUUCA